CUGGCCACCGGUCCCCGGUCACUGCCGCCGGCCACCGGUCUCCGGUCACCGCCGCCGGCCACCAGUCUCCGGCCACCGCCGCCGGCCACCACCGCCGGCCACCACCGCUGCCAAUCACCAACCACCACUGCCUCCACCAGCAUUGGCAAUUUUGCACUGCCCCUCCUAAUCUUUUAAUUUUUUAUAUAUAGUGUUAUUUACUUCUAUAGUCUUUUUGUUUUGGUCAGUGAACUAAUUCACCCAAAAGUCAUUCGUCUCUUUUUUUUUCUCCUCUUCUGCCUCUCUCUCUCUUGCUCCUCCGUAGCCUCAAAAUUGGUACCUUAACCCAAUCUUUGCCGUUUCUACCGCCAGCAGUUUCCUGCUACCUUCUUCCACUGGAUCAACCGAUCAUAUUUUCUUACACCAAUCGUUUAUUCUAUAAUCAACAAUUAUUCUAUGUCUCUACCUCUGAUUUUGUCUCAUCUCAUCACCAAUGGUUACCUGAAUGGACAGAGCUACUCUAACUGUCUCGACGAAUGGUUGCUCCUCAGAUUCUAGUUCAAUUCCUGAAAGCGAUUUCUUAUGGGUUUUUCAGAUUAACUCUUCGCCUUGUUGAUGACCGACCAGAAUUAAUUGGGAAUGCAGAAUCUUCUAUUGGAUGCACAUGCACUCACUGGUUCGAAAACACUUCACAUCACCAAGGUAUAUGAGGAAGAAUAUGUUUGGAUACACUUGUAUCUUAAACAGGAUCCGAGUGAGAUAAUGCCAAACACUUAGGAUCCGCGUCCUUUUGACAUUUUAGAUUACUCAUUUGCCCUUAAAUUUUUUUUUUCUCUUCUCCCUUUCUUUCGACGUAGGGGGUAAUAUGUGGAAUUUUUUGCCAAAUUUCUUUUUUUUUUUGCUUUUGUAUUCCCCAAUUAAUAGUAUAGAUGAUUCCGUGAUUAUGUAUAAUUAGCAAAUUAUUAUUGAUUAUGUUUAAUUAACAAAUGACUGUAGGAGUAUAAUUAUGAACAAAAUAAGUUUUAUU